AAAGUAGUCCAGAAGUGUGAAUGCAUCAUAUGAAGACCAAUGCGUGAAUUCCUUAUGAAGCGCUUUCUCCACCAAAAACCUUGCAGUCAAUACCAAAAAUGUAAGCACAGCAAAAGCCAAACCAAUUUUUCCAAUAAUUGUAGCAACACCAUUCAGCUUCACCUGUAGCGGGGUCUCAUCUUCUCCACCUUCAUUCAGAGUUUCCAUCAAUUUUCCCCAUUCAGUCUUCAUACCAACAGC
rnacentral:misc_RNA from 1 species